UGCAAUUAAUAAUGUUUUUUUCCAUAAUUGCUGCCUGAACCGUGAUUAAUACAAAAAUAUCACCAUCUUUCAGCUGAAAUUGCA
rfam:Capsicum annuum cultivar Zunla-1 chromosome 12, whole genome shotgun sequence